rnacentral:misc_RNA from 1 species
UCACCCCCUACCCCUUCCACCAUGGUGACGCGGGCGGCCAAGCAGCGGGAGCUUUCCUCCACGUACCAAAGCUUCGCGGACACCGGCCCCACGUACUCCUACCUGGACCUUAGCCGCGCCCGCAGCGAUGAGUCCUUGAUGUGGGCGGCGGGCGAGGAGGCGGCGGCUCUCGUGGCUGAGCUGCGGGCGUCGCUGGCUGCGCCCCUUCCGCGCCUCGAGGACGCUCACGCCCCCGCCGGGGAGGACGACGAGCCCGAGGACGAGGGGCUGGAGAUGAGCGCUGUGCCCCUGCGGAGGGCGUCCCUGGGCAGGAUUUCCCUGGACAGGACGUCCAUGGAGAGGCUGUCUCUGGACAGGAGCUCUCUCGGGAGGGCGUCCUUCUGCGGCAGCGGCCGCUCGCUCUCCUUCACCGACCUGCACUCGGCCGCCACCUCCGCCGAGGACCUGCGUCUCUUCUGCUUCCACCCCGCGCGCCUGCCGUGCUCGCCCCACUGCGCCUCCUCCUGCGCCUCCUCCGCCUCCUCCACAGCGUCCUCCAGGAGCGCUGCCUCCGCCUGCGACAGCACUCUCAACAUCCUGGGAGGAGGCGUGGUCAGGCGCUGCAACCUGCGCACCUUCGGGGGCAGCUGGCGAUCGCUCCUCAAAAUGGGCGGGAUGAGCGGGCGCGCGAAGGCGACGGCCGCCGUCAAGAAGGUGUCGCCGCCGAGGGUCCCUGACACGGCCGUCUCGCACCGCCACUCGGGCUCCUCCCUCAGCUCCGGCGUGUACAGCACGGGCGGCAGCGACCAGCGCUCCUCCUACUCCUCCUCCGUGGGCGAGGACAACCCGCCGCCGUCGCCCAGGAGCCCCGCCAAGGGCAGUGUCCCUUGUGACCAUGGGCAGCUUGGCCGCCAUGGAGGGGCUAACCAGCAUGGAAACAACUCCCCAUCACAUUUCCACAACCAGCAGUUCACCUUCCCAACAAACCACCAGCAACAGGUACCUCAAUUUGCUCACCUGAUGUGCCCUAAGACCUCCCCUGGCUCUCCUCACCAUGUGCCACCAGACACAACGUAUUCAUAUCUUACCUACCAUCAUCAGACGUCCCUUGAGGACCAAGGCAUUGAUGUUCAGUCUCCAGGUCGUUCCAGUCCAGGCUCUGGGAGCGGCUCGUCCACUACUGGCUCCACUGCCUCAUCAGGAGGAUGUAGAAAUUCCACCACAUCUUUGGACUCGGGUCGAGCAUCCACCACAACCCACACACAUCAGCAUAGGCUCAGUGGGCAGAGCUAUGACAGUGGGUCCAUUCUUCGCCACAGCUACCAUUCGUCUAGCUCCAGUCUGGGGUCCAUGGAACAUGAUGGGGCCAUUCAUGUCAAUGUCACAGAGCUGCUCAACAAUGGCGUCAGAGACUCAGAAGUGUUGAGGGCUUGGCUCACAGAUCUCCGAUUUGAAGAAUACUAUGAGAAAUUCAUUUCUGCUGGCUAUGACAUGCCCACAAUCUUCAAAAUGACACCAGAAGAUCUGAAUGCCAUCGGUAUUACCAAACCAGCACACAGAAAGAAGCUCAAAGCUGAAAUCACUCGGCUUAACAUUCCUGACAGGCUGCCAGAUUUUAUUCCUGGUCGAUUAGAGGAAUGGUUAUCUAUUCUGCGUUUAGAGGAGUACACAGGGUCCCUUAAGCAGCAAGGCUAUACGUGCGUAGAGCAGAUGACACAACUGACUUGGGAGGAUCUUGAAGAUAUAGGCAUUACAAAAUUGGGACACCAGAAGAAAGUGAUGCUGGCUAUCAAACGUGUAAAGGACAUUAUGGCUGGGAAGAAAUUUUCAAGCAAUCCAGACAGUCAACAACAGUCGCACUAUGGAACUCAUGAAAUUAUGAUUUCCCGUGAAAACUGUGAAGGUCGAGACCAGUAUGCUAGUGUACCAGAAUUCAGGACCUUUUCAGGUCCAGGACUUUACAAUAAUGGCGAGCAUAGUAGAUUGAGUGGACCAGCUGACCCUGGAGGUCAUUAUGGUGUACCUGCACAUUAUGGACCUGGUGUUCAGUAUGGUCCAAUGCCACCUCCACAAGCACACGUCCAUCCUCUCCAAAAGCAACCAGUUGCAUAUCACCCACCAGGCCAGUUCAGUGGCCCUCAGGGCCCAUCACCUCCAGGGCCAAAGGUUUCUAAUGGGCAGCCACACCCCUUACCUGGUCCUGGCCAGGUGCAGUAUAGACCAGAUGUGGUAGCGGUGCAGGUUCGGCCUGGGGGCAGAGGAAGAAGUGUUGAAAGCUUAGAGGAACCCAUAUAUGGGACCUACCAAACAUUCCACCCAGACAGCCGAAUCCCAAAUGUCCAGGGCCCCAUGUCUCUUGGCAACCUCCCUCCUAGACCCUUCCCACCCUCAGCUCUAGGUCCGUCCCACCCCCAGCGGUCAAUGGACGAUGGUGACAUCACUCCUACAAAUGAAUACACCAUCAACUAUGAAGGUGGAGGAACUCUCCCCAGACCUCGCACAGCCAACAAACUCAGACCUGUUGCCAAAGUCACAGCAAAGACCAGGGUAGAUAUUCAUGAGGUGCCACAGUUCAUAAAGGAUGGAAACAAUGCGAAGAAUGCAGCACAGACUGAAGAAGCUAACAAGAAAGAGCUCAACAUGAAAACGCUAAACCGGCAAAAUUCAGAAAAUAUAUAUAGCUCCACUCAUUGCCCAGGAAGCAAUAAUAAUACCCCACAGGGAACUCCAAAGAAAUUACCCCCUCCACCCCCACGCCGCUCAAAUUCCAUCAGUGAGACAUCUAAAGAGACUGCUGCCAGAGAGGCUCAGUAUGGUUACCGGCGAGGAAUGUCCUAUGGAUACAUGGGCAUCAAAAACAACUUGCAGCCAGAUGUCACCCCUGAUCUCCCACCCCCUCCUGCACCCCCAGAUAGUGCCAACCACCAGCAUCUGCCCGAUGACUUCCCACCUCCCCCACCACCUCUGACUUGUGUAACUAUGGCCAGUGCCACCAGAAUUUCUGCCAGCUCAACAAUAACCACGUCCUCCAUCACAAGCGACACUAUUGCUACUUCACAGACCUCCACCACUGCCUCAGAUGGAGAAGUAGGCGAGUUCCGGCCAAGGCGCAAUGACUCCAAUGCCAGCUUUAAGUCGACCUCCAGCACAGACUCAGACUCGAUGCCGUUUGCUAAUGAGAAUGCUGGGACUAUCAAGCAGCGAGCAUGCCGCCCUCACCCAGGCCUCAGCGUCCUGGACACAAGAAAUUCCCCACACUCCUCUCCAAGAUCUUCCCCUGCUCUUCGCCGCAAGGAAACUCAGCCCCCCCUCAGGCAGAACCCAAUUGCUGCAGCUGAUCCAGCCAGUACAACAGCCACAAAGUCCAAUUCCAACAUCAGUGAAGUCACACUGCUCACUCAAGAACAUCAGUGCUGAGGUUAAAUUGCAACAGACAUUCCUUUUACUUUGGCAUACAUCGUGUUGCAGAGAGAGAGAGUACAUUUCUCCUGAUGGCACAGGGGACGUCCUGAAUGACAUCGGCAAUAUGCUCGCCAACUU